UCUGUUUUUAUUUUCAAACUUCUCCCCUCCUGUCUUUGCAGGCAAGACUAUUGCAAGAUGACUUGUCAUGAUGCGCUGCAGCGACGUGAUCUACACCCCAUGACAAGCCCAAACUGCCUCCUGCAAGAGAAGAAGAGGAGAAGGAGGGAAAGGAGGGAGCAACGACGAGGAAAGGAAAGGACAGAAUGACAUCAUUAGUCUUCGUCAAUGGAAUCGAGGUUCUACUUAUGGGCUCUGACUUCAUCCGGAGAUCUGGAGCUGGGCGCUCAAGGCUGCGCAACCUCUCAACGUCACUUUGGGUUUUAGUUGACAUUUAUGAUGCGGGGCCCUUUUAUACCUGCAGCCGGGGCCUGAUGGUCACAUUGGACAAUCGAAAUCUGCACCAGCUGGCUGUGCAAGAGGAGCCCCGUUUGUUUCUGCCUGAUGAAAGCUGGCAUCCCUUUAAUUGCAAAGUGUCAAUGUGGUCGUCGGAAAAAUGCAAAUACCGAAAGGGCUGUCAGGACAAGUGCCACUUAGAAUUAGUUAAG